rnacentral:lncRNA from 1 species
GUUUUGGUCUAAUCCUAACCCCUCCCUAAGCCCAGAGUUCGUUUUUUACCGAGCCCCCAAUCACCCAAUUAAUACCCAAUAAGUUGUACGUCAUAUGCCAAAGACUAUAGGUCACCGGGCACCAAAGAAGUAGAUGAUUGCAAGAUUCAGCAACUUCCAUACAAAGAUAACAACCAUUAACCAUAGUAUGACCUCUUCUUAUCAACUUAUCAAUAGUAAAAAUGCAUUCCCGACCCGCUUCCCAGGGAAAAAAAAGUGAUUCUCGUUGACGCCUUCACUUUCCAAAUAUGACAAAUCGGGAAAUUCAAGCCAAC